UGCAGCCAUGCCGCGUGUGUGAAGAAGGCCUUCGGGUUGUAAAGCACUUUCAGCGAGGAGGAAAGGUUACUGGCUAAUAUCCAGUAGCUGUGACGUUACUCGCAGAAGAAGCACCGGCUAACUCCGUGCCAGCAGCCGCGGUAAUACGGAGGGUGCGAGCGUUAAUCGGAAUUACUGGGCGUAAAGCGUGCGCAGGCGGUUUGUUAAGCGAGAUGUGAAAGCCCCGGGCUCAACCUGGGAACUGCAUUUUGAACUGGCAAACUAGAGUCUUGUAGAGGGGGGUAGAAUUCCAGGUGUAGCGGUGAAAUGCGUAGAGAUCUGGAGGAAUACCGGUGGCGAAGGCGGCCCCCUGGACAAAGACUGACGCUCAUGCACGAAAGCGUGGGGAGCAAACAGGAUUAGAUACCCUGGUAGUCCACGCCGUAAACGAUGUCUACUCGGAGUUUGGUGUCUUGAACACUGGGCUCUCAAGCUAACGCAUUAAGUAGACCGC
rnacentral:rRNA from 1 species